AACUUACUCCCUUCGUCUGAAAAUAUUUGUCAUCAAAAUGAAUAAGAAGGGAUGUAUCUAAAACUAAUAUACAUCUAGAUACAUCCCCUUUUAUUCAUUUUGAUAACAAGUAUUUCCGGACGGAGGAAGUACUUG
rnacentral:pre_miRNA from 1 species